rnacentral:rRNA from 1 species
UACGUAGGGGGCAAGCGUUGUCCGGAAUUACUGGGUGUAAAGGGAGCGCAGGCGGAGAAGCAAGUCAGUGGUGAAAACGAUGGGCUUAACUCAUCGACUGCCAUUGAAACUGUUUCCCUUGAGUGAAGUAGAGGCAGGCGGAAUUCCGAGUGUAGCGGUGAAAUGCGUAGAUAUUCGGAGGAACACCAGUGGCGAAGGCGGCCUGCUGGGCUUUAACUGACGCUGAGGCUCGAAAGUGUGGGGAGCAAACA